rnacentral:rRNA from 1 species
UACAGAGGGGGCAAGCGUUGUUCGGAAUUACUGGGCGUAAAGGGCGCGUAGGCGGCCAUGCGUGUCUUCCGUGAAAUCCCUCGGCUCAACCGAGGACGUGCGGAAGAAACUGCAAGGCUCGAGUCCGGAAGAGGGGGGGCGGAAUUCCCAGUGUAGCGGUAAAAUGCGCAGAUAUCAGGAAGAACACCUAUGGCGAAGGCAGCACUCUGGGACGGUACUGACGCUGAGACGCGAAAGCGUGGGGAGCGAACAGG